UGCCCACCCACAAUCUCCUUGGCUCAGGCUUUACUGUCUAAAACCUGCUAUGCAAAAGUCCUCCAUUGUGAGAUCAGAGCCAACCUAGAAGUUUCAAGUGAAAACAGUUUUAAAUCACUGUUAUGGUUAAAUUGUGUCCCUGCUCCCUCCCCUCCCCCUCCCCCCCCAGCCAAAUUUGUAUGUUAAAGCCCUAACCCUGAGGACCUCAGAAUGUGAGUGUAUGUGGAGAUGGGGCCUUUAAAGAGAGGGAAUUAAGUUAAAAUGAGGCUGUUAGGGUGGGCUCUAAUCCCAUCUGACUUAUUAGAGGAUAUUAGGACACAAACAAGCAUGUGCAGAGGGAAGACCAUGUGAGGUCACAGCAAGAUGGUAGCCAUUGCAAGCCAAGGAGAGGGACCUCAUAAGACACCUUGACCUUGGACUUUCUGACUCCAGAACUAACUUUCCAAAGAGAAGAAGUGGAAGAAAAAGAAGGUUGCCCGAGUCACUUCCCAGACCCUCUGUUGAUGGCAGCGGAAGCCCAGGAAAAUCCUAACCCUGCUGACCACCUAUAAAAUGGUCUUGACCAUGGCAACCUCACUCACUAAUGACAUGUGGCCCAAUCAACUUCUCAGACACAAUGGUAGGUGCUGUGGAUGGGACCAAGACUUGAAUCCUGUCCCUAACGGUGAAAGGGUAGUGGAGAUAUGAAAGGGAAAACCACCAUAAUAAAGGAGGAGACUGACAUUUUCUCUUCAAAUGGCUGAUAUUUGAACAAAAGAUGGAAAAAACUGGUUCCAGGUUCUUCAACUCUUCCUCCUUGGAAGCAGGCACUGAAGUCUUCCCAGCUCCCUGCUUGAACUGCAGGAAGGGAAAAAUUGGGGAGGAACAAAUACAAAUCAAUCUUUUAACAUAUUAUCCUUCUACAGUCUUUACCAACCAGUAGGACUCAACCCAGAGAGAUUAAUUUACAGGAAUGCUCUCUACAUUUAUUGAGCAACAUUUAUUUCACAUUUCUGAUAUACAAUGCAGUGUGCCUGCUACUGCGGAUACAGCCAUGUGAAACACUGCAUUAUUGACCCUAGGUCUUCACCGAUCCCUGUGUUUGCAUCCUCUGCAGUGUAACUUUGCAGUUGCCCCUGCUAAAGGCAGAGUGUAUGUUCCCACUCCACUGAGAUCAGGCUUGGCCAUGUGGCUCACUUUAGUCAAUGGAGUGUGGACAGAAUGGCCAAUUCUAAGACUAGGCCUUAAGCAACUUUGCUUUCACUGCCCCUUGCACUUCUGUCAUUGCCACGAGAAAAACAUGCCAGUG